AUUGUUUCUCAGUCUUUUGGCUAAGAUCAAGUGUAGUAUCUGCUCUUUCUAGUUUAAUUGUGAAAAUAAUGCUAAUUCAUACUAAAUGAAAUUUUGUAUUUGAAAUGUUUC
ensembl:snRNA U2 U2 spliceosomal RNA